rnacentral:rRNA from 1 species
UACGGAGGGUGCGAGCGUUGUCCGGAAUCACUGGGCGUAAAGGGCGCGUAGGCGGAAUGGCAAGUCGGUCGUGAAAUCCUUCGGCUCAACCGAGGAACGUCGAUCGAAACUGCCGUUCUUGAGGAUUGCAGAGGAGACUGGAAUUCCCGGUGUAGCGGUGAAAUGUGUAGAGAUCGGGAGGAACACCGGUGGCGAAGGCGGGUCUCUGGGCAUCUCCUGACGCUGAGGCGCGAAAGCGUGGGGAGCAAACGGG